GGUGAGGUGGGUGAGUGGCUCAAACCAGUAGUUUGCUAAACUGCCGUACGGGUUAAACUGUACCGAGGGUUCGAAUCCCUCCCUCACCGCAA
rnacentral:tRNA from 4 species